rnacentral:rRNA from 1 species
UACAGAGGGGGCAAGCGUUAUUCGGAAUUAUUGGGCGUAAAGGGCGCGUAGGCGGCUUGGCAAGUGGAUGGUGAAAUCCCUCGGCUUAACCGAGGAACUGCCGUCCAAACUGCUUCGCUUGAGACCGGGAGAGGUGAGUGGAAUUCCCAGUGUAGCGGUGAAAUGCGUAGAUAUUGGGAGGAACACCAGUGGCGAAGGCGGCUCACUGGACCGGUACUGACGCUGAUGCGCGAAAGCGUGGGGAGCAAAGCGGG